rnacentral:misc_RNA from 1 species
AAGUCGUAACAAGGUAACCGUAGGUGAACCUGCGGUUGGAUCAUUAAAAAAAAUUGAAGCUUCAACCCUUUCAAGGGUAGAAGCGUCAGUGCUCCUCUAACAAGGAGCUUGACUACUCCAAUUUUGUGAACUUGCAACCAAAAAAUGUUUUGAUAGUGGUGAAAGAUUUGGGCAUUACCAGUCCAAGUUUUUCCCUUCUUGAAAAAAUUGUUAACCCUGAAGAAAUAACUUGUCUUUACCGUUUUUUAUAAAUAAAAAUUAAUAAACAACUUUUGACAACGGAUCUCUAGGCUCUC